AAGUCGUAACAAGGUAACCGUAUGGGAACCUGCGGUUGGAUCACCUCCUUACCUUAAAGAAGC
rnacentral:rRNA from 1 species